UACGUAGGGUGCAAGCGUUGUCCGGAAUUAUUGGGCGUAAAGAGCUCGUAGGCGGUCUGUUGCGUCGGCUGUGAAAACCCGAGGCUCAACCUCGGGCCUGCAGCCGAUACGGGCAGACUAGAGUUCGGCAGGGGAGACUGGAAUUCCUGGUGUAGCGGUGAAAUGCGCAGAUAUCAGGAGGAACACCGGUGGCGAAGGCGGGACUCUGGGCCGAUACUGACGCUGAGGAGCGAAAGCGUGGGGAGCGAACAGG
rnacentral:rRNA from 1 species